UGUUCCAGAGGAAUUGCGAGAACCAUUUUACACAGACCAGUAUGAUCAGGAACACAUUAAACCACCGGUUGUUAACUUGCUGCUAUCUGCUGAACUCUACUGUCGUGCUGGGAGUCUAAUUCUCAAGAGUGAUGCUGCCAAACCACUUGUGGGUCACGAUGCUGUUAUCCAAGCCUUGGCACAGAAAGGUCUUUAUGUCACUGACCAGGAGAAGUUGGUAACUGAAAGGGAUCUGCACAAGAAACCCAUUCAGAUGCAGGUCAGUCUGAGGACAGAACAGGGCACAGAUCGAGGUGGAGGGAGAAAAAAUUAUUUGGGGGUGCGCUUCCCCAGCAGAAUGAGACAAUAGGAAGAUAAAGGGAGUUCAAUCCAGAGUCAACUGAACUCCCUUUGAAGUUGAUGGGAAUCUUCAUAUAGACUUUAAUAUAAAGCCUGGUACCUUAUAUCUGUAACUGGAUCUGUAGUUUGCACUGUAGCUGUUUGAACAGACAAUUUUCAUGGCAAUGUAUCCACUUAUAUUGAGUUCUUCAGAAUGUAGCUUGUUGAUAUUUCACAAACAAUAAUAUGAGUAGGAGAUCAGUUUUAAGGAUAGCAGGCAUUCAUACAUUUUUUGGGUAAUUUUUGGGAGGAGUUAAGGACUGGCCACUCUCACAACAUUAUUGGGACUCUGUCACCAUUUCUAGUAUCUUUAUUAAAGCCCAAGCUCCUGGGAGUGUGCACCUGGGAACAUAAGUAUCUAAUUUCUUUUUUUAUUAAAAAAAAAAAAAGGUUAAUAGCUUUCAUAGUUGCAACAAGAAAUUUUAGCAUGUGAGCCUUAGAAGCUGAAAAACCAAUAAUCAACCCAAAAACAAUCACUCCUGAACUUGGUUUAAAAAUCUUGAGAAUUUUAUAAUGUCAUUAUUUUUUGCAGAGCUUGAUUUGUGAUUGUUGGACAGCCUGGAGUUGGUAAUACUUUUAAAUCUGAACAGUAUUUUGAACUUGGUGCACAGUAUUAAUGGGGCAUAGACCCAAAGUUUUCUCAAUUAUCUUGAUCCUUUAAUUCUAGUUAUAAAACAGUAGUAUUCUAGAAUGACCUUGGAUCAAAUGCAUCCUCUAAGUCCUGUGAUAUAAUAAAUAGUGUGAUUCCAAAAUAAUUUGAUAAAUGUUAGCAAUUCUUGUAGCACACUUCUAUAAUAUUAUUUUGAUAAGGGAAAUAACAUAUUUCCAAAGAAUAAAAGUAUAAAGCUGUCUGAGCGCAGAAAUGCUCUUUCAUAAUUUCUAACUUUUUACCAAAUAAAAAACCCCCAAAAAACCCUUACUUUUGAAUAUUAAGAAACAGUGUCUCUGAGUGCUUGCACAUGAAUACAGAAAGCUGGGAGGUGGCUUGUAUAAACAAGGUGGGGACAACUUGAGGCUAAAGUGAGUCUGUACGUUGUAGUAGCAGUUUUCUGACAGUUUUCACUCUGGUUUGUGGGAGCAGAAUUAGGCAGUUGAGAUAAACUAGAUCUGCUCUGCUCAUGUAUCAGUUUGAUCAGUGGGAAGGUCAGAAGAAGAAAAUAUAAAAAGUGAAUGACUGAGGUGGAACUGUUGUGAGUAACUGCAUAAAAUUUGUUUUUGUUGUCCAUUGCUUUUUCGUGUGUAAAUGAGCACAGUGGGAUUCCACUAUGCUAAACUGCUAAAAGUGUGUGUGUGGAGGGAGGAGGGAACAAGAAAUAGAAAAAAAGACAAUUUGCUUGUGACUUCUUUAUGAAGAAAGAAGAGGAAUGGAAAGAAAAAUUCCAGUGUUAUAGUGUGAAAGCUCCUACCCAAUAAAUCUAUUCCUAAAACUGUAUUAAAAACUAGCACAUAAUGAACAAGCAAGCUUGAAUAAGCAACCACAUCAGUCAGAUGAGCUCUUCUAAUCACUGCCAGAUCAUUCAGCUUGUCUGUGGCUCUCUCCAGUUCAUUCUUGCUAUUGGUCAGAGAUCUGGAAUCUUAUCUUCUCAAUCAGGAAGCUUAUGCAUUUUGGAAAAGUUUUCCCUUUUGAAGAGCAAAAAUAGCACUGUGCUGUUAGUGGCAGUCUCUUUGUAUACUUUAAGCAUUCUGUCCCUUUUGGGAGACCAUGAUGAUAAAGCUGCCCAGAUUUUUCCCAGAAUGCACUGAAAAAGUAAAUGCAGUUGUGGUGUGCCCAUACAUAAUCCACAUAAAUUGCAUAAAUACAAUUCCACCUGUAUUGUACAUAAGACUUCAGGGUAGAAAAUUGUUUGAGGGAGUGAUCCAAAACUCCUUUAACCUUGAGUGAGAGGGAAACUGGUAUGUGUUGUUUUUAUGCAAAUCUGCUACUUUAUGUUAAAAAAACAGAUGGCAACAAUAUGGUGAUACUUAAAUUUAUAAAGGUAAAAGGUGAGAGAGUGCCUUACUCUGUAUUUGAAAAAAAUAAUUUUCUAACAGAGUGGUCAUUUUCAGGUAUUGAGACUUUUUCCUGUUAUUUUCAUAAAGGGAUGCUGUUAAAUUUGGUAUAAAUUAACCUGCUCCUUGUGAUUGUCCGGUGGUUUUGAGGUCUUUUUUAGACUUGAGGAACCCUUGGAUAGACUUGCAGCAUCCCUUGGAAAAUGCCAUCUUUUAGUUUUCACUCUUUCUGUAGUAAAAAAUUAUAAUAAUGAAGCAAUUGUGUUGCAGAGAACUCGGAAAGGUCACAAUGAUGGAUUUCUACUUGGAAUCUGUGAACUUAUCCUGUGAAUUAGGUUUGCAAACCUAACAGUGCCACAGCACCCUGGUUGAGAAUCACCAAUCUAGUCCUAUGUCCUGAUUUAACAUGGGCAAUUGGAAUUUACUGAAUAGGUCUUUAAUGCAGAUCUCUUAUUAAAACCUCCAAUCUUGAUUUUAAAAUUGCCAGUGAUUGAGAAUCUACCAUAUCCUGUGCUCAAUUGUUCUGAUGGCUAAUUACUUUAACUUAAAUAUAUCUCGCCUGCAUUUGUCUAGCUCAGUGAUUCUUAACUGGCGUUUGAUGGGUACCGUGGGGUGACCUGAACCCCUUGUAGGAGUGCUGUGGCAUGGGUGCCACUGCUGCAGUGGGUAGGUGGAGUUUCCCAGGCACACCUCUGUUUCUGGGAGGAGCAUUGGCAUGAAGACUGGGCCAGAAAGGGCUGUAACAAAAGUAGGUGCUUCUGCAUGCUUUAGGCUUAUCUUAUUGUGCAUGAGGCACAUAGUGCACUUCUACUUGGCUGUGAUAUUGAUGGCAGCAGCAACUCAGUGGAACAACCACUGAGGUAAGCUGAGGCAACACGACAGUGAUUCUCAACCAAGGUGCUACCAAAUUUUAAUGUUAUUCAGGGUGCCCUGAAACUACAAAGGUUGAGAACCAAUAGCUAAUGAUCAACAUCCAGCUAUAAGAACUUGUUUACCUUUUUGCUCAGUUGAAUAAACUAAUCAGCAAAGUGUUGUGUCUUGCUUUAAUCAAGUUUUCCUUUUAAUGCUGUUUUUAUAAACAAAAUAAAAUGGAGUUCUAGGAGUGUCUCCCUUUUUAAGGCAUGUUUUCCUAUCUUUUAAUCACUUUAAUGGUUCUCCUGUGAAAGGUCUCCAGUUAUUGACCCCUCUUACCAAAGUCUGUCCUGGCUUUGUUGUAGAUCUGAAGGAGAGGAGCAGAAUGAUUGAUUUAUGUGGAGAGGCACAAGAGUCAUGUCUGGGUUCAUUAAAAGGCUUCUUUGGCCCCGUUGCUUAAUUUCUGUAUUUGAGAAGAAAAAUUAGAAAAGUAAAAUUUUCUUAACUUGUAGAGGUGUUUUAAAGAUAAAGCCAAUUUAAGUUUUGUGAAGAACUACAUAAAUACAUGGACAAUGUGAAAUUUAACCUAUUGUUAACUGUCCUAUUUUUUUCUGGGUGUUGAAUUCAAAAGAAUUUUUUUUAACUUACCAUCUUCAAAACACAAUCUCUCCUCAGACUCUAUGACCCUUGCUUUUUAGUGAG